rnacentral:lncRNA from 1 species
AAAAAUGAAAAAGAUAUUCCCCUUUUGAUUUGCCAGUCGUAGCCAGCUGUAAAGGGGGAUGCGUCUUCUUUUCACUUUUGGGGGGACUUUAUACUGACCGAUUCUCUCUCCCCCAAUGGUAAAAAGGAAAAGAAAAAGAGGACCAAUAGACUCUCUCAUGAGUACUCUCUCUCUGAAAAAAAUGUGGUAGGGGAGAAAAGAAAAUAGAAAAGGAAAAUAAAAGAAAGAGAAAAAGGAACGAAAGAGUUUUCCUCUAUUUCUCCACAAACCUCCUCCUUCACGAAAACCAGACCGAAACCCUUCAUAUUCCAAUCUUAC